AUCCAUCUGACGAGUCCCAAGCAGGACGAAACAUGCGUCUUGGAU
rnacentral:hammerhead_ribozyme from 1 species